GGCUGUAGCUCAGUGGUAGAGCACUCACCUAGCAUGUGUGAGGCACUGGGUUCAAUUCUCAGAACCA
rnacentral:tRNA from 1 species